CAACAGGAAAAAAAUAUGAUAUUUUGGAUUCAAUUCAUUUUCCUUUCAGCCAUCUUCAGAGGUGUUCAAUCAGAGAUCCGUCUGGAGGAGACUGGAGGAGAUAUAAAAAGACCUGGAGAGUCUGUCCGGCUCUCCUGUGAAGGGUCAGGGUUCACCUUCAGCAGCUAUGAGAUGAUGUGGGUCAGACAGGCUUCUGGGAAGGGACUAGAAUGGAUUGCACGAAUAUAUGAAAGUGGAAGCACACAGUUCUAUGCUGACUCAGUAAAAGGGCGCUUCACCAUCUCCAGGAACAAUGCUUUGAACAUGGUGUAUCUUCAGAUGAACUCUCUAAAACUCGAAGACACUGCUCUGUAUUACUGUGCAAGACGCACAGUGAGAGGAAGUGAAUCUGAGCUUAGACAAAAAAAAUCUCAUUUGCUCCUGGCAACGCUUACAGUGUCUUCUUAA